rnacentral:lncRNA from 1 species
AAACUACCCUUCAUAGGAAACUUACAUCAGAUUAUCAGCAGAUCAUUGCCCCAUCAUCUCUUCAAAAUUUUGGCAGAUAAAUAUGGACCUCUAAUGCACCUUAAACUAGGAGAGGUACCAUACGUAAUAGUUAGUUCACCAGAAAUUGCCAAAGAGAUUAUGAAAACACAUGAUCUCAACUUUUGUGAUAGGCCAAACCUUCUUUUGUCUACAAUAUUUAGUUACAAUGCUACUGAUGUUAUAUUUUCGAUGUAUCGAGAAUGGUGGAGGGAACUACGAAAGAUAUGCGUUAUAGAACUAUUAAGUGCAAAGCGCAUCCAAUCAUUUAGGUCUAUAAGAGAAGAUGAAGUGACAAAUCUUGUUAAAUCAAUAACUUUUAAGUGAAGGAUCAGUUGUUAAUCUCAGUGAGAAGAUUUUCUCAAUGACAUAUGGGAUAACAGCGAGGGCGGUUUUUGGGAAAAGGAAUAGACACCAAGAUGUGUUCAUACCAGCAUUGGAGAAAGUAGUGGUGCUAUUAGGAAGAUUUGAAAUUGCAGAUUUGUAUCCUUCUAUUAAAUUGCUUCAAUGGAUGACUAGGGAGAAGACCAAAAAUGUUAUAUUUUAAAUAAGAAACUUUGUUGAAGAAGUUAUUUCAAAAAUCUAGCAUUAAAGUUGUUUAAUGCUGAAAAUGAUUGAAGUAUAAAUAUGAGAAUUUUUUCUGACCCCAAACGUUUAAAAAAAAAAAAAAGUGUCUAUACUUUGUUCAGAUUUAAUGAUAAAAACACGUUUGUCAUAAAAAUGGUUCACCGGUGAUAAGUUCGCAAGAUGUGUCUUAUAACAUAAAAAACAUAAUGCUAUGUUUGCCGGUUAUUUUUACAACAGAAGCAUUUUUAUCAUUAAAUCUUAACAAAGACUAAAAGAGCAUACACAUGCAUUAUUAUUUUUUGUUUGGGGGUUAGAAAAAAAAAUCUAAAUAUGAAAAAGAACAUUCUUAGAGAAUCUUUGCAAAAAGGGUAGAUUAAAAGCUUGUUGAAUCCAAUUAAUUUUCCAGCACCAUAUCAAAGUUUUCAUUUAGACCAAUGAGAGAGAGCUCCACAAAGCAUCAUUAACAAAAAUGGUAUUGUUUCACGAGUUUGAAAGACUUUUUGGUAUUUUUUUCACGUUCACAUGACACCAAAAGACAAAAAUGUACUACCAUACCACUUUUAGAAAUUUUUAGGUGGCAACGUAAAAGAAGAUAUCUUUCUGACGAGUUUUACACGACGUUUGAAGGUUAUGUUUGCAUAGAACCCCAACUUCAAUUGAUAAUAUAUAUAAUGAAAGCUCAACAGACAUAAGCAUAAGGUGUUUUGGAAAUUUGUCCAUAAUCCAAAAAUAAUUCAGAUUUUUUAUUCCGGUAAGGAUGAUUGAUUGGGUGAUAAUAAUGACAUAUAAUUACAAGUCUACCUAAACCCUAUUUUUUAUUCUUGUGUAGUGGUUGUUUUAUUUUGACUCCACAAGCACACCUUGUUCUUCAUGUGUGUGUGUCUUUUUAUUAAAUUGCUUUGGAUUGGAUGGUAUCAAUAUUUUUAAUUAUAUGUGAUUAUUGGAGCUCCUAUUUUUGACCACACAAGGCACACCUUAUUCCUUCAUGUGUGUCUUUAUUAAACUGCUUUGUAUUGCAAAUAUAUAAAAAUAUUAAAAAACAGGCACAUGGUUGGUGCAAGGUGAAAAUGUUAUUUAUAAUAUUUCUUUACAUUAGAACGUGUAUCUUAAUGUUAAUACUGUAUUGAUUUUAUAUUAGUAUUUAGUUGUGUAUUAAUUAACAUGUCUGCAUUGUAUUGAAAUUGCAAGUGAUCGAAUUUUGAGCGUUUUGAAGAGAAACCUUGUUUGUCAAGGCACUCUUUGGAUUCUUUAGAUCAAACAACCAACAUGGAGCUUCACAACCCUUUUUCUAAUAUCAUCUUCAUGCUCUCCUUUCUCAUCCUCUUAGUGCUAUUCAAAAUAGUUAAAAGAUGGAGUUUUAACAAUUCCACUACCAAAUUGCCACCUGGACCAUGGGAACUACCCCUCAUAGGAAACUUACAUCAGAUUAUCAGCAGAUCAUUGCCCCAUCACCGCUUCAAAAUUUUGGCUGAUAAAUAUGGACCUUUAAUGCACCUUAAACUAGGAGAGGUACCAUACAUAAUAGUUAGUUCACCAGAAAUUGCCAAAGAGAUUAUGAAAACACAUGACCUUACCUUUAGUGAUAGGCCAAACCUUCUUUUGGCCACAAUAUUAACUUACAAUGCUACUGAUGUUAUAUUCUCUAAAUAUGGAGAACGGUGGAGGCAACUACGAAAGAUAUGUGUUGUAGAGCUAUUAAGUGCAAAGCGUGUCCAAUCAUUUAGGUCCACAAGAGAAGAUGAAGUAUCAAAUCUUGCUACAUCAAUAACUGCAAGUGAAGGAUCAAUUGUUAAUCUCACUCAUAAGAUUUUCUCAAUGACAUAUGGGAUAACAACGCGGGCGGCUUUUGGCAAAAGGAGCAAACACCAGCAAUCGUUUAAAUCAGCAGUAGAGGAAAUAGUAAGUUUGUUGGGAGGCAUUUGUAUUGUUGAUUUGUAUCCUUCUAUUAAAUUGCUUCAAUGCGUGAGUAGGGCGAAGGCCAAAAUGGAAAAACUUCACAAAGAGAUUGAUAUGAUAUUGCAAGACAUUAUCGACGAUCACAAAAGCAUUCACAAGGAAGAUAGCAAUGAAGAAUAUCUAGUAGAUGUUCUUCUCAAGAUUCAACAGGAAAAUUAUCACUCACAACAUCCUUUAACCGAUGACAAUAUAAAGUCAAUCAUCCAGGUUAGUCAACAAUCAAAAGUGUUAGAAAGUUUAUUUCAAAAUUAAAAACUAGUUUAUAAAUUUGCAUAUAUGCUUAGAAGUCAGAUUUCCUAGAGGAAGAAAAUAAGAUUAUCUUGAUUAAUAAUAGUAUUUUGGUGAGAACAUCAUAUUAAUGACUUAACUUUUGUUUAGAGAAAUAGAUCGUGUUAAUGUUAAUCCAUUUGUAGGACAUAUUCGAUGCUGGUACCGAAACAUCGUCAACGACUGUGUUAUGGGCGAUAUCUGAGAUGGUAAAGAAUCCAAAGGUGAUGGAAGAAGCACAAGCUGAGGUAAGAAGAGUUUUUGAUAGGAAGGGGUUUGUGGAUGAGACAGAGUUGCACCAAUUGAUAUACUUAAAAUCUGUGAUCAAGGAAACAAUGAGGCUACAUCCAACCGUACCGUUGUUACUUCCAAGAGAAAGUAGGGAGAGAUGCCAAAUCAAUGGGUAUGAAAUCCCAGCUAAGACAAGGGUCAUGGUUAAUGCUUGGGCUAUUGGAAGAGAUCCAAGGUAUUGGGUUGAUGCUGAAAGUUUUAAACCUGAGAGGUUUGUUAAUAGUCCAAUUGAUUUCAAAGGCACAGACUUUGAAUACAUACCAUUUGGUGCUGGAAGAAGGAUGUGUCCCGGAAUUGCAUUUGCCUUACCCAACGUUGAAUUGCCUCUUGCUAGUUUACUUUACCACUUUGAUUGGAAGCUUCCCAAUAAAAUGAAGAAUGAAGAACUAGAUAUGACCGAGUCAUUUGGGAUUACUGCAGGUAGAAAGCACAAUCUAUGCUUAAUUCCUAUUACUCGUCGUCUUUAAUAUGUAUUGUCUAAGCAAACAAGUUCAGAAACGACGUUCCUAAUAAAAUUUGUAUUGGUUAUCUUUACGUAUAGGUUCACUAUAUGUUGUCUAAAAUUUGUGUAUGAUAUUUGUUCCACAAACAAAUAUAGAAUUUAUGUUGAAAGGAAGUUGCGAACUAUUUGUACAGUAUUGUGUAAUACAUUAACCAGAGAAGAAUCUUUUCCUUGACUGCCAAGGAAGAAAUCCACCUAAAAUCGAUAGCAUAUGAAGAAUGAAGAAGGGUUGUGAGGCAAUCAACAUCACACAAGUAACUUACCUUAAAAAAAUAGAGAAACAAUAAAUCAAUGAGAAGUAAUUAACAAUGCUUAUAUAGGACCAUAAUCAUAAAUAUAUAAAAAUGCUAAAUCCAUAUUAAUGGUUAUGAAAUCUAAUUCUUCCUCUCUGUUAAUCUUGUACUUUACACUAAUAGUGGUAGCUUUCCCUAUAUGGGUCUUAUAACAAUAACAUAAAAAACAUAAUGCUAUGUUCGCCAGUUCAUUUUUACAACAGAAGCAUUUGUAUCAUUAAAUCUAAAUAUGAAAAAGAACAUUCUUGGAGAAUCUUUGCAAAAAGGGUAGAUUAAAGGCUUGUUGAAUCCAAUGAAUUUUCCAGCACCAUUUCAAAGUUUUCAUUUAGUCCAAUGAGAGAUCAACAAUGCAUCAUUUACAAAAAUUGUAUAUUGAGAAUGUGAUAUAUAUAUAUACACGAUGCAAUAAACACUUGCCAACUGUAUUUUGAAAUCUUCGCUAUGCUAUCUCUCGCUGUAAAUAGCAUUUUCCUAUAAUUAAUUUGGCAUAAAAGUCUAAUCAUGAUUAUGUUUCGUGUGAUACAUGAGUGCUUGGAAAGAUUAGUGUUAGGAAAGAGUGAUAUUACAAAUGAGUGAAUCAACCCACUAAUGGGAUGGUUACAACCAUAUAUACUACUACAAGACUAAUACUAAUUGUGUCUAAACUAUAUCUCUAAUAAUUAGUGAUAGUUGAGAUGAAAGUUUUCUCAACUAUCAGAUCUUCUUUCUUAGAUCACCCUUUGAUCUUUACAUAAGAAAAAUGCUAUUUACAGCGAGAGAUAACAUAGCGAAGAUUUCUAGAUACAGUUGGCAAGUGUUUAUUGCAUCGUGUAUUUGUUUACUUCCUAUUUUUCAGCCACACCUCCUUGAAUUGUGUCAAAUAGCACAUUGUGAUUGGCUGCUCUUUAUUCUUGAAGAGAUCGUGAUGUUAUUUUUCUAGAGAUAUAGCAUUGCUCUUAAUUAUGUUCGCAUAGUAGCCCUGUCUCUUUUGAGGCAAGGGCGAGGGUUUGGUUGUUGCUCUCGUAGUUGCACUCUUAUCCUUUGAAGUUGAUAAAUGAAACCAACUUCAAUUGACAACAUAAUGAAAGCUCAACAGACAUAAGCAUAAGGUGUUUUGGAAAGUGGCCAUAGUCCAAAAUUAAUUCAGUUUUUUUUUUUAUUUCUUUUCCGGUAAGAAUGAUUGAUUUGGUGAUAAUGACAUGACAUAUAAUUACAAGUCUAACAAGACCCUAUUUGAAAAAAGAUAGAUUACCAAAUGGAGUGCUGAAAUCACUAGUGUCUUUUGGUUUAACUAUGUAGUGUUACUAUUAAUUUUUACUAUUUUUACACUAAGCUCUUCAAAAUGUUAGUGGAUGAUUUUUUCAUGUGCAUAAUACAAAAAAUAUGAAAUUUGCAUGAGUCAGCCUAAAAUUGAAAGGAUCAAUUUAAUAAGCCCUUGAAGACGGGAAGAUGACAAUCGAGUCUGGCAUGGUGUGCUGCAAUUUAAUUAACUCUUAAUCGCAAAUUAUUAAUGUGAUGGUGUUGUUUGUUUUAUUUUGACUCCACUAAGUACACCUUGUUCUUUAUAUGUGUGUGUCUUUCUACUAAGUUGCUUUGGAUUGGAUGGUAUCAAUAUUUUUUAAGUAUAUGUGCUUAGGUUGUUCUAUUUUUGACCACACAAAGCACACCUUAUGAUUCAUGUGUGUCUUUAUUAAAUUGCUUUGCAUAUAUUAAAAGAAAUAAAAAUAAACAACAGGCACAUGGUUGGUGCAAGGAGAAAAUGUUAUUUAACAUGUCUGCAUUAUAUUGAAAUUGCAAGUGAUCUAAUUUUGAGUGUUUUGCAUAGAAAUCUUCUUUGUCAAGGCACUCUUCAGAUUCUCUAGAUCAAGCUACCAUCAUGGAGCUUCAAAAUCCUUUUUCGAAUAUCAUCUUCAUUCUCUCCUUUCUCAUCCUCUUAGUUCUAUUCAAAAUAGUUCAAAGAUGGAGUUUUAACAAUUCGACUACCAAAUUGCCACCAGGACCAUGGAAACUACCCCUCAUAGGAAACUUACAUCAGAUUAUCAGCAGAUCAUUGCCCCAUCAUCUCUUCAAAAUUUUGGCAGAUAAAUAUGGACCUCUAAUGCACCUUAAACUAGGAGAGGUACCAUACGUAAUAGUUAGUUCACCAGAAAUUGCCAAAGAGAUUAUGAAAACACAUGAUCUCAACUUCUGCGACAGGCCAAACCUUCUUUUGUCCAAUAUAUAUAGUUACAAUGCUACAGACAUUGCCUUCGCUGCAUACGGUGAACAUUGGAGGCAAUUACGAAAGAUAUGUGUUAUAGAGCUAUUAAGUGCAAAGCGUGUACAAUCAUUUAGGUCCAUAAGAGAAGAU